GCUCCGGUGGCUUAGGCGUCAGAGCGUCCACCUCGGAUGGGAGAGGUCGUGGGUUCGAUCCCCAGCCGAGUCA